rnacentral:tRNA from 1 species
GUGGAUGGGGCUCAGUGGUAAGGUGCUUGCCUAGCAGGCNAGAUGUUCUGGGUUCAAUUCCCAGCACCUGAA